rnacentral:rRNA from 1 species
CCUACGGGAGGCAGCAGUGAGGAAUAUUGGUCAAUGGGCGGGAGCCUGAACCAGCCAAGUCGCGUGAGGGAAGACGGUCCUAUGGAUUGUAAACCUCUUUAGGCGGGGAGCAAAGCCGGGCACGCGUGCCCGGAGGGAGAGGACCCGCAGAAGAAGCAUCGGCGAACUCCGUGCCAGCAGCCGCGGUAAUACGGCGGAUGCGAGCGUUAUCCGGAUUUAUGGGGUUGAAAGGGGGCGUAGGCGGAUUUUUAAGUCAGCGGUAAAAUGUCCGGGCUCAACCCGGGCCGGCCGUUGAAACUGGGGAUCUUGAGUGGGCGAGAAGUAUGCGGAAUGCGUGGUGUAGCGGUGAAAUGCAUAGAUCUCACGCAGAACUCCGAUUGCGAAGGCAGCAUACCGGCGCCCGACUGACGCUGAGGCACGAAAGCGUGGGGAUCGAACAGGAUUAGAUACCCCAGUAGUC